rnacentral:rRNA from 1 species
GAUUAACGCUGGCGGUAGGCCUAACACAUGCAAGUCGAACGGCAGCACAGGAGAGCCUGCUCUCUGGGUGGCGAGUGGCGGACGGGUGAGGAAUACAUCGGAAUCUACUCUGUCAUGGGGGAUAACGUAGGGAAACUUACGCUAAUACCGCAUACGACCUACGGGUGAAAGCAGGGGACCUUCGGGCCUUGCGCGAUUGAAUGAGCCGGUGUCGGAUUAGCUAGUUGGCGGGGUAAAGGCCCACCAAGGCGACGAUCCGUAGCUGGUCUGAGAGGAUGAGCAGCCACACUGGAACUGAGACACGGUCCAGACUCCUACGGGAGGCAGCAGUGGGGAAUAUUGGACAAUGGGCGCAAGCCUGAUCCAGCCAUACCGCGUGGGUGAAGAAGGCCUUCGGGUUGUAAAGCCCUUUUGUUGGGAAAGAAAUCCAGCUGGCUAAUACCCGGUUGGGAUGACGGUACCCAAAGAAUAAGCACCGGCUAACUUCGCGCCAGCCGCCGCCGUAA